rnacentral:misc_RNA from 1 species
GAAAUGCGAUAAGUAAUGUGAAUUGCAGAAUUCAGUGAAUCAUCGAAUCUUUGAACGCACCUUGCGCCCUUUGGCUAUUCCGAAGGGCAUGCCUGUUUGAGUAUCAUGAACACCUCAACUCUCAUGGUCCGCCAUGAUGAGCUUGGACUCUGGGGGUCUUGCCGGCCUAGCGUCGGCUCCUCUCAAAUGGAUCAGCUUGCCAGUGUUUGGUGGCGUCACAGGUGUGAUAACUAUCUACGCUUGUGGUUUCCACCAUGCAACCUUCAGUGAUGGAGGUUCGCUGGAGCUCACAGAUGUCUCUCCUUGGGGAGGACAGCUUUUUGAACGUUUGAUCUCAAAUCAGGUAGGACUACCCGCUGAACUUAA